AUGAUUUUAGGUGCUUGCACUUGAAAGAUUUAACAUUGAGACGAGUGGCGAACUGGUGAGUAACACGUGGGUAACCUGCCCUUGAAGUAGGGGAUAACACUUGGAAACAGGUGCUAAUACCGUAUAACAACCAAAACCACCUGGUUUUGGUUUAAAAGACGGCUUCGGCUGUCACUUUAGGAUGGACCCGCGGCGUAUUAGCUUGUUGGUAAGGUAACGGCCUACCAAGGCGAUGAUACGUAGCCGACCUGAGAGGGUAAUCGGCCACAUUGGGACUGAGACACGGCCCAAACUCCUACGGGAGGCAGCAGUAGGGAAUCUUCCACAAUGGACGAAAGUCUGAUGGAGCAACGCCGCGUGAGUGAUGAAGGGUUUCGGCUCGUAAAACUCUGUUGUUGGAGAAGAACAGGUGUCAGAGUAACUGUUGACAUCUUGACGGUAUCCAACCAGAAAGCCACGGCUAACUACGUGCCAGCAGCCGCGGUAAUACGUAGGUGGCAAGCGUUGUCCGGAUUUAUUGGGCGUAAAGCGAGCGCAGGCGGUUUUUUAGGUCUGAUGUGAAAGCCUUCGGCUUAACCGGAGAAGUGCAUCGGAAACCGGGAGACUUGAGUGCAGAAGAGGACAGUGGAACUCCAUGUGUAGCGGUGAAAUGCGUAGAUAUAUGGAAGAACACCAGUGGCGAAGGCGGCUGUCUGGUCUGUAACUGACGCUGAGGCUCGAAAGCAUGGGUAGCGAACAGGAUUAGAUA
rnacentral:rRNA from 1 species